rnacentral:rRNA from 1 species
GGUCUGGGCGGGCGGUCCACCUUCCGGUGAGCACUGUUCCGACGCCGGGCCUAUCCUUCUGGUGAGACGGCAUGCCCUUCGCUGGGUGUGUCGGGGAACCAGGACCAUUACCUUGAAAAAAUUAGAGUGUUCAAAGCAGGCAUUUGCUCGAAUACAUUAGCAUGGAAUAAUGAAAUAGGACGAUCGAUCCUAUUUUGUUGGUUUCUAGGAUUGACGUA